rnacentral:tRNA from 1 species
CGGGCUCGUGGUGUAGGGGCCAAACACGCCGGCCUGUCAAGCCGGAGAUCGGGGGUUCAAAUCCCCUCGAGCCCGCCAU